rnacentral:rRNA from 1 species
GCACUAUUGGAGUGGCCGAUGUCGGAUUAGCUAGUUGGUGAGGUAAAGGCUUACCAAGGCGACGAUCCGUAGCUGGUCUGAGAGGACGAUCAGCCACACUGGAACUGAGACACGGUCCAG